rnacentral:rRNA from 1 species
GACGAACGCUGGCGGCGUGCUUAACACAUGCAAGUCGAACGGUAAGGCCCUUCGGGGUACACGAGUGGCGAACGGGUGAGUAACACGUGGGUGAUCUGCCCUGCACUUCGGGAUAAGCCUGGGAAACUGGGUCUAAUACCGGAUAGGACCACUGCCUGCAUGGGUGGUGGUGGAAAGCUUUUGCGGUGUGGGAUGGGCCCGCGGCCUAUCUGCUUGUUGGUGGGGUGAUGGCCUACCAAGGCGACGACGGGUAGCCGGUCUGGGAGGGUGACCGGCCACACUGGGACUGAGAUACGGCCCAGACUCCUACGGGAGGCAGCAGUGGGGAAUAGUGCACAAUGGGCGCAAGCCUGAUGCAGCGACGCCGCGUGAGGGAUGACGGCCUUCGGGUUGUAAACCUCUUUCAGCACCGACGAAGCGCAAGUGACGGUAGGUGCAGAAGAAGGACCGGCCAACUACGUGCCAGCCGCCGCGGUAA